GGCGGGGGUAAAAUAUCGCCGAAGGGCAUAUCGAUGAAGUUUCUGGUGAUGGCUUUGAUUGCCCAAAUCAGGGCUGUUGCUGAGAGUUAAGAAUCUUGGGCGUCUUGCAAUGGCAUGCAAGUAGCGACCCAAUUUUCGUGGAGACCCGGUUCGGUAGCUCUUGCUACUGACCGGAGUGAAACCUGCUAUGCGGUGUUGAUUGUUGAUACGCUGUGUACAGUGUAGCCUGCCUUGCGUGAAAUAUACGGAUUCGGGAAUUACGUUUGCGAUAGGUUGGCCGCCUUACGUAGGCGAUUGCCCGAUGAAAUUUAUUUUGCAAAAGAGGCUAAGGGCGGACGUUGUCUGCAAAGGAAAACUUCUAGACUGUUAUUUUAAAUCUCUUGGGGAUUAUAGUGCGCUCUCAGUGGCUAUCCGGUAGCGUUAAAGGCGACUUAACGAUUUGCAGUGUAAUAGGAAACUUCUUUAUCGGCGACGGAAAGUUUCUGCGAAAAGGAAAACUCACCGGACCUAUGACGCAAGGUUUACUCGUGAGGUUACCACCGUCUCUUUU
rnacentral:sRNA from 1 species